rfam:Stegodyphus mimosarum contig172312, whole genome shotgun sequence.
GCCUUCGUGGUGUAGUGGUCAGCAUGCUCGACGCGUAACCGAAAGGUCCAUGGUUCGAUUCCCGGCGAAGGCG